rnacentral:lncRNA from 1 species
CGGAGAGGAGAGAGGAAGAGGAAGGAACGCGCCUGGCGUCACUGAGGGUGUCACCCGGGACCGCGGCUCAGGUACCCAAGCUUCUCCGCGAGUCCAGCGCUGCCACUCGGCGGCCGCCGCGGGCGCGGGGAUCCUGGGUCGCUCCGCCUUGACCCACGCGCCCCACGCCCCGGGACUUACACCUGGGGUCGCUCCCCGCACGCGCGGGCCUCGCGCCGGUGCCGCCGCAGCGCCCCCUGCAGGCCGGAGCCGAGCUGGCCCAGGCCUGAGUCUGGCCCGGGGUUCCGUGGCCCCAGUGCCGGCCCCGCGGCUGCUGCUCCGGCCCGGCCAGGUGCCUUCGUGUUGAGGCGAAAGGACUGGGCCUCAGUGGGUGAAGGGACCGGGUGGCCCGCUUCCACCUAGGGCAGAGGCUGGAUCGGCCGCGGCGAGGCUGGGCCCAGCAUUACUGGGAGGGGAACUUGAGAGCCGCGGGUUGAUGUUCGGAGCUCAGGCGACGACUGACCACCCACCCUUCCUCGAAGAGGAACAAUGGCUUGGCUGAUGGAAUUUGAGAAAUGGCAGGUGUGAGGACUCUGACCUUCCCAUGAAGCAGGUCAUAAGACCCUCAUGUGAGAGAUGCCCUCUCUAUACCUGGAGAAAAGAAGCAGUCUUAUUUGUGAAGACAGAGAGACGCCAAGAGGAAUCUAAAUGAAUAGGCCUUGGAACCCCAGACGCACGGGCCUUGUGCUGUCGCUGCCGUGGCACCCCUUCUAGAAGGACUCUAUUCUCUAUAACAGAAGUGGGAGCCUUGGACAACUGAACGCCUAUCUCUAGCUCAAGAAAUGUCAGCUCUUUUUUUUUUUUUGAGACUGUCACCCAGUCGGGAGUACAGUGGCGCCAUCUUGGCUCUCUGUAACCUCCACCUCCUGGGUUCAAGCGAUUCUCCUGCCUCAGCCUCCUGAGUAGCUGGGGCUACAGGUAUGCACCAUCACUCCUGGCUAAUUGUUGUAUUUUUAGUAGAUAAUGGGGUUUCACCAUGUUGGCCAGGGUGGUCUCAAACUCCUGACCUCAGGUGAUCUGCCUGCCUCGGCCUCCCAAAGUGCUGGGAUUACAGACGUGAGCCACCAUGCCCAGCCAAGAAAUGUCAAUUCUUUAUCGUAGCCUGGCUUUCCAUAUUUCUCACUAGGGUUUUUAUUCUCUAGUUUGUAAAUCACAUUUGGCGUUUGUAGAUCACUCCUUCCCUUUUAGUGGCAUUCUCUAUUAGGUGUCCAUCUCCCAAUAUGAAGAAACAGUUUUCUGCUUUUUCCUCCUUUAUCUGAUCCAUUUACAGAUUUAUUACAUUUAUAAUAGGCUAGGUAUUGGGGAUACAAAAAUGAAUAAGAUAUGGUCUGUUUUCAAAGGUAUGCAGAAACUUUUCUAUAUAUUCCUACUGACUUGUAUUUGUAUUUCUUGAAUUAAAAACAAUCCUGGCUGUGUUUUUUUUUUUUUUUUUUUGCUCUUAGUGAAUCUUUGUUUCUUCUUUUCAUUAUGGCAUUCCAGUUGAGUUUCACCACGCAUUAUCAUGAGAAUAAAUAAUUUCACUGACUUUAAUAAUAUUUGAUCACUUAUGUUGAUGUCAUUUAACUCUCAUUUACAUUUCAGUGGUCUAAAACACAACUAAGAUACUAAAAGAAAAAUAAAAGAUGAGAUUAUUGGCAAAUAAUUACCAC